GGUGACGUGUCUGAGCGGCCGAAAGUGCAUCACUCGAAAUGAUGUGUAGGGCAACCUACCGCGGGUUCAAAUCCCGCCGUCACCGCCA
rnacentral:tRNA from 5 species